CCUACGGGGGGCUGCAGUGAGGAAUAUUGGUCAAUGGGCGCGAGCCUGAACCAGCCAAGUAGCGUGAAGGAUGACUGCCCUACGGGUUGUAAACUUCUUUUAUAAAGGAAUAAAGUGAGGCACGUGUGCCUUUUUGUAUGUACUUUAUGAAUCAGGGUCGGCUAACUCCAUGCCAGCAGCCGCGGUAAUACGGAGGGUCCGAGCGUUAUCCGGAUUUAUUGGGUUUAAAGGGAGCGUAGAUGGGUUGUGAAGUCAGUUGUGAAAGUUUGCGGCUCAACCGGAAAAUUGCAAUUGAUACUGGCAGCGUUGAGGAAAGUGGGGGUAGGGGAAAUUCGUGGUGUAGCGGAGAAAUGAUUAGAUAUUGCGAAGAAAUCAG
rnacentral:rRNA from 1 species